GAAAUGCGAUAAGUAAUGUGAAUUGCAGAAUUCAGUGAAUCAUCGAAUCUUUGAACGCACCUUGCGCUCCUUGGUAUUCCGAGGAGCAUGCCUGUUUGAGUGUCAUGAAAACCCUCAACCUUCGAUUGGUUAAACCCUUUCUUUGGCUCGGAUUUGGACGUUUGCCGCUGAUAAGUCGGCUCGGCUUAAAAGUAAUAGCUGGAUCUGUCUCGCGACAUGGUUUGACUUGGCGUAAUAAGUAUUUCGCUAAGGACAUCUUCGGAUGGCCGCGUUGAAAGACUAAAGACCGAUUUCUAAUUCAUUGAUCUUCGGAUUAAUAUUCUUGACAUCUGGCCUCAAAUCAGGUAGGACUACCCGCUGAACUUAA
rnacentral:misc_RNA from 1 species